AUUGAACGCUGGCGGCAGGCCUAACACAUGCAAGUCGAGCGGAUGAAGGGAGCUUGCUCCUGGAUUCAGCGGCGGACGGGUGAGUAAUGCCUAGGAAUCUGCCUGGGAGUGGGGGAUAACGUCCGGAAACGGGCGCUAAUACCGCAUACGUCCUGAGGGAGCAAGUGGGGGAUCUUCGGACCUCACGCUAUCAGAUGAGCCUAGGGCGGAUUAGCUAGUUGGUGGGGUAAAGGCCUAACAAGGCGACGAUCCGUAACUGGUCUGAGAGGAUGAUCAGUCACACUGGAAAUGAGACACGGUCCAGACUCCUACGGGAGGCAGCAGUGGGGAAUAUUGGACAAAGGGCGAAAGCCUGAUCCAGCCAUGCCGCGUGUGUGAAGAAGGUCUUCGGAUUGUAAAGCACUUUAAGUUGGGAGGAAGGGCAGUAAGUUAAUACCUUGCUGUUUUGACGUUACCAACAGAAUAAGCACCGGCUAACUUCGUG
rnacentral:rRNA from 1 species